rnacentral:rRNA from 1 species
CUACGGAGGGGGCAAGCGUUGUUCGGAAUUACUGGGCGUAAAGGGCGCGCAGGCGGUUUUGUUAGUCAGGCGUGAAAUCCCCGGGCUUAACCUGGGAAUUGCGUUUGAUACUGCAAAACUAGAGUGCGGGAGAGGGUAGUGGAAUUCCCAGUGUAGAGGUGAAAUUCGUAGAUAUUGGGAAGAACACCAGUGGCGAAGGCGGCUACCUGGACCGAUACUGACGCUGAGGCGCGAAAGCGUGGGGAGCAAACAGGAUUAGAAACCCUAGUAGUCC